AAUGGGGGGAACCCUGAUCCAGCCAUGCCGCGUGUGUGAAGAAGGCCUUUUGGUUGUAAAGCACUUUAAGCGAGGAGGAGGCUACCGAGAUUAAUACUCUUGGAUAGUGGACGUUACUCGCAGAAUAAGCACCGGCUAACUCUGUGCCAGCAGCCGCGGUAAUACAGAGGGUGCGAGCGUUAAUCGGAUUUACUGGGCGUAAAGCGUGCGUAGGCGGCUUUUUAAGUCGGAUGUGAAAUCCCCGAGCUUAACUUGGGAAUUGCAUUCGAUACUGGGAAGCUAGAGUAUGGGAGAGGAUGGUAGAAUUCCAGGUGUAGCGGUGAAAUGCGUAGAGAUCUGGAGGAAUACCGAUGGCGAAGGCAGCCAUCUGGCCUAAUACUGACGCUGAGGUACGAAAGCAUGGGGAGCAAA
rnacentral:rRNA from 1 species